rnacentral:lncRNA from 1 species
UUCUGUUUGCCCCUGAAUAUGUUUAAGUGAGCCUCAGUAUGAACCCACUUCUCGUACAAAUCUCGUGGAACAUGGGAGGAAGACGGUUGAACAAUAGAUGCACCUUCUUAGUAUUGAGGACGACAAUCUUCUCGUUCAGGUCCGAAACCUCGCUCUUUAGGCCACCAAUCUGUUCUUCAAGUCUCGCCCCCUUAAGUGCAUACGUCUCCACUUUAUUUGCCCGCUUAGAUCUGAGGACAUGGAUGGAACCUCUACCACAGUCGCCCUCCUGGCUUUCUCGGCUCUCUCUAACUCCGAUGCUUUUAUGGCCAACUCAUCACUCAAGCCGUUGGCUCUAGCUUUAUUCUGCUCAAGCUCGGUCCAUAAGGAUGCCACCUGAGCCUGAGGGUCGACGCACUCGGCCACAACCUCUUUGCUCACCUCAAGCUCGUCCUUUUAGACUCUCAAUGUUCCUUCGAGCUCGCUACACCUACCGAUGACUCUCACGAGCUCAUCGUCCUUCUACUUCAGCUCAUCAUCCUUCUGCUUCAGCUCAUCUCAAAGAGAGUGGAACUAACCAUCCUCGUAGAGUAUGCUGCUCAAUGUGUGAUGCUUGGCACGAAACUCGCUAUACUUGGAAUCCAUUCUUUUAUAGAGAGCCUUCCUAUUCUCUUCUCGACAGGCGCACUCGAUCUCCAGAAUGAGUUUGAUAAAUAGAUAGAAAACAGUCAGCAAAGAUAAACAAAGUAAAGAAAAGGAAAAGAUACGAGAACACAAAAAAGAUGGAAAACUUACUCGCAGGGCCAUCUAGGAGAUGCCUAACGACAGGUCGUCAUCCUUAAACGUCUGCAAGGCCCUAUUCUCUGUGCCCAUGCAAAGGGGAAUCAUGUUGGAAUAAAUCCGACUAUAAAACUGUAGCCUUCAUAUCGAAUUAUUGGAACUAUAACAUAAGCGGAAGCGUACCUGAAUCCAUAGGUGGAAGCUCCUUGAUCCGGC